rnacentral:hammerhead_ribozyme from 1 species
AUAAAAUGAAGAGUCCCAUAAUAGGACGAAAUGGCCGUCCAGUAU